GGUCUUGCUGUCACUUAUAGAUGGAUCCGCGCUGCAUUAGCUAGUUGGUAAGGUAACGGCUUACCAAGGCAACGAUGCAUAGCCGACCUGAGAGGGUGAUCGGCCACACUGGAACUGAGACACGGUCCAGACUCCUACGGGAGGCAGCAGUAGGGAAUCUUCCGCAAUGGGCGAAAGCCUGACGGAGCAACGCCGCGUGAGUGAUGAAGGUCUUCGGAUCGUAAAACUCUGUUAUUAGGGAAGAACAUAUGUGUAAGUAACUGUGCACAUCUUGACGGUACCUAAUCAGAAAGCCACGGCUAACUACGUGCCAGCAGCCGCGGUAAUACGUAGGUGGCAAGCGUUAUCCGGAAUUAUUGGGCGUAAAGCGCGCGUAGGCGGUUUUUUAAGUCUGAUGUGAAAGCCCACGGCUCAACCGUGGAGGGUCAUUGGAAACUGGAAAACUUGAGUGCAGAAGAGGAAAGUGGAAUUCCAUGUGUAGCGGUGAAAUGCGCAGAGAUAUGGAGGAACACCAGUGGCGAAGGCGACUUUCUGGUCUGUAACUGACGCUGAUGUGCGAAAGCGUGGGGAUCAAACAGGAUUAGAUACCCUGGUAGUCCACGCCGUAAACGAUGAGUGCUAAGUGUUAGGGGGUUUCCGCCCCUUAGUGCUGCAGCUAACGCAUUAAGCACUCCGCCUGGGGAGUACGACCGCAAGGUUGAAACUCAAAGGAAUUGACGGGGACCCGCACAAGCGGUGGAGCAUGUGGUUUAAUUCGAAGCAACGCGAAGAACCUUACCAAAUCUUGACAUCCUUUGACAACUCUAGAGAUAGAGCCUUCCCCUUCGGGGGACAAAGUGACAGGUGGUGCAUGGUUGUCGUCAGCUCGUGUCGUGAGAUGUUGGGUUAAGUCCCGCAACGAGCGCAACCCUUAAGCUUAGUUGCCAUCAUUAAGUUGGGCACUCUAAGUUGACUGCCGGUGACAAACCGGAGGAAGGUGGGGAUGACGUCAAAUCAUCAUGCCCCUUAUGAUUUGGGCUACACACGUGCUACAAUGGACAAUACAAAGGGCAGCGAAACCGCGAGGUCAAGCAAAUCCCAUAAAGUUGUUCUCAGUUCGGAUUGUAGUCUGCAACUCGACUACAUGAAGCUGGAAUCGCUAGUAAUCGUAGAUCAGCAUGCUACGGUGAAUACGUUCCCGGGUCUUGUACACACCGCCCGUCACACCACGAGAGUUUGUAACACCCGAAGCCGGUGGAGUAACCUUUUAGGAGCUAGCCGUCGAAGGUGGGACAAAUGAUUGGGGUGAAGUCGUAACAAGGUAGCCGUAUCGGAAGGUGCGGCU
rnacentral:rRNA from 1 species